UAGAGUUUGAUCCUGGCUCAGAAUGAACGCUGGCGGCGUGCUUAACACAUGCAAGUCGAACGGUAACAGGAGAAGCUUGCUUCUUGCUGACGAGUGGCGCACGGGUGAGUAAUGCAUAGGUAACGUGCCCCUUAGUCUGGGAUAGCCACUGGAAACGGUGAAUAAUACUGGAUACUCCUUCUACCUUGAUGGUAGUUGGGAAAGUUUUUCGCUAAGGGAUCGGCCUAUGUUGUAUCAGGUAGUUGGUGAGGUAAUGGCUCACCAAGCCUAUGACACAUAGCGGGUCUGAGAGGAUGAUCCGCCACACUGGUACUGAGACACGGACCAGACUCCUACGGGAGGCAGCAGUGGGGAAUAUUGCACAAUGGACGAAAGUCUGAUGCAGCAACGCCGCGUGGAGGAUGACACAUUUCGGUGCGUAAACUCCUUUUAUAUAAGAAGAUAAUGACGGUAUUAUAUGAAUAAGCACCGGCUAACUCCGUGCCAGCAGCCGCGGUAAUACGGAGGGUGCAAGCGUUACUCGGAAUCACUGGGCGUAAAGGACACGUAGGCGGGUUAUCAAGUCAGGUGUGAAAUCCUACAGCUCAACUGUAGAACUGCACUUGAAACUGGUAACCUAGAGUAUGGGAGGGGGAGAUGGAAUUAGUGGUGUAGGGGUAAAAUCCGUAGAUAUCACU
rnacentral:rRNA from 1 species